UUUGAAGGCACAAAGGAGUCAUGGA
rnacentral:misc_RNA from 1 species